AAUCAGGAUAAAAUGGAGCUCACAUCCAGUUGAACCGCGCGAGCAGAAUCUUGGAAAUCGUUUAAUUGAUAUUUGGGACUCACCAGAUAUGAGGUUCUUGGGACUCUCUUUGUUUCUGUUGAUUGUUAUGAUCGAAUGGGUCUCGGGCAUUCAAGGGACGAGGAGGAAAAAGCCCUGCGUACAAACCUCAGUCGGUUCCAUAUGUGGUCAGGGUUAGAAUGACCCAAAAUCCCUGUCCAAUCGUCGUGGAAUCGUCCUGACUACUUCAUCCGCGAUGAUAAAAAAUGAAACUUGACCCCAAAUUGAUCGAUCUACGUAGUGCACAGUGAUACUAUAAUCAUUAAAUAGUUUCCUUCAUAUUGAUACACUCGAAUAAACCCUUGUUUCAUUUGUCAA